GGGCCUAUAGUAAAACGGCAUUACGCUUCCAUGGCAUGGAAGAGGUCGGGGUUCAAUUCCCCGUAGGUCCACCA
rnacentral:tRNA from 1 species